AUUGAACGCUGGCGGCAGGCCUAACACAUGCAAGUCGAACGAGAGGCGGAAGGGAGAGUAAUGACUGGGAAACGGCCUGGUGGAGGGGGAUAACAACUGGGAACGGUAGCUAAUACCGCAGACCUGCACAUGGGCCGAGAUGGGAUGAGCUUGGUGGUGGGGUAACGGCGCACCAAGGCGCCGAUCCCUAGCUGGUCUAAGAGGAUGACCAGUCACACUGGAACUGAGACACGGUCCAGACUCCUACGGGAGGCAGCAGUGGGGAAUAUUGCACAAUGGGCGAAAGCCUGAUGCAGCCAUGCCGCGUGUAUGAAGAAGGUCUUCGGGUUGUAAAGUACUUUAAGCGGGGAGGCGUUACCAGCAGAAGAAGCACCGGCUAACUUCGUGCCAGCAGCCGCGGUAAUUC
rnacentral:rRNA from 1 species